AUAAAUCCCAACAGAUAGAAUAGCCAGUAUAUGAUGAUAU
rnacentral:guide_RNA from 1 species